rnacentral:rRNA from 1 species
GUGGGGAAUCUUAGACAAUGGGGGCAACCCUGAUCUAGUCAUGCCGCGUGAUCGAUGAAGGCCUUAGGGUUGUAAAGAUCUUUCAGCUGGGAAGAUAAUGACGGUACCAGCAGAAGAAGCCCCGGCUAACUCCGUGCCAGCAGCCGCGGUAAUACGGAGGGGGCUAGCGUUGUUCGGAAUUACUGGGCGUAAAGCGCACGUAGGCGGAUUGGAAAGUUGGGGGUGAAAUCCCGGGGCUCAACCCCGGAACUGCCUUCAAAACUCCCAGUCUUGAGGUCGAGAGAGGUGAGUGGAAGUCCGAGUGUAGAGGUGAAAUUCGUAGAUAUUCGGAGGAACACCAGUGGCGAAGGCGGCUCACUGGCUCGAUACUGACGCUGAGGUGCGAAAGCGUGGGGAGCAAACAGGAUUAGAUACCCGGGUAGUCC